rnacentral:lncRNA from 1 species
UAUUUUCUUUUCCUUUCUUUUCUCUCUCGUGAGUGGGAGCUAACCCUUAUGUUAUCCAUAUCUACGACGAUCGUUACAUUUACUAAGAAGCCAAGUUAGUGUUCUAGGUUUAUAUCUCUUACGUCGGUUAGAGCACGUAAUGAUAUAAGAAGAGACAUUCAACUGUCUAUUCAACGAAAGUUCAGAUAAUUUAAAGAAACUGGUGCCAAAGAUGCCAUUUCUGACAUCGUCGACGUAUAAACAACUUCUCGCCUUCAUACAAAUAAAAAAAAAAGACAAACGGAUGAAAUAUAUUUGUACAGCUUUGAGGAAGAAUGAAAAUAAAUCAAUAGGAAAAUGCUUGUAGUAUUGGUUCUAUUAAACCUCGUCAUAUUACCUUUAAUUUUUUAUGUUGUACUAAGCUUGCUUUUGGAUACACUUUUAGCUACAACCUCACUGUUAGUGUUCUUAGGUAUGAUAGCAGCAAAUAUUGUAAUGAUCCAAUCUUCGAACUAUAUCUACAAACUAAUCAUUAGGAUAGUAUAUUACAUUGUAGCAUUUAUUUUCCUUGAAUAAAACUUGUUUAUGUUAUCUUUUA